rnacentral:lncRNA from 1 species
UUCUGCAAUAACCAAAACCAAGGAGUAUAAAUAACAAUCAGGCUCUGGGGGAAUAGAAAGCUGGAGCAAAGAAAGGCCUGCUUUGUGGACUAUCUACAAGGAAUCACAGCAUACAUGCAUUGAAUGUACUCAAACUUCAGCUCCAUGCAUUUAUCACCAAAAUAUAGAACAAAGCAAAAAACUGUUUAAACACUAUACAUGGGUGCCAUGGCUCAUGCUUUAAUCCCAGAGCUUUGAGGGGCCAAGGCAGGAGGAUCACUUGAGGCCAGGAAUUGGAGACCAGCCUGGCCAACAUAGCAGGACCCUGUCUUUAAAAAUAAAAAUAAAAAUAAAUAAAUUAUCUAGAUGUGGUGGCACGUGCCUGUAAUCCCAGCUACCUGAGACUCUGUCUCAAAUAAAUCAAUAAAUAAAUACCACAGGGACAAUUCCACCUGUCAUCCCAUUGAAAGAAAAAGGAGCCGAAGAAUGGGGAUGUGAUUCAAAUGUGCCUUCAUCCCUUCCAUCACCUACAAAAAAAAAAAAAUAAAUGUUUGUUGAAUGAAUGAAUGGUAGCCAAGAUGUGGUAUUCAUUAUAUAUCACUGUGCAAAAAAUUAUUCCAAAAUUUAGAGGCUUAAAAUGAUAACAAACAGUUAAGAUCUCACAGAGUUUCUGUCAGGAAACUGGGAACAGCUUAGCUACAUAGUUCUAACUCAGGGUCUCUCAGGUUAUAUACAGUUAAGCUAUCAGCCAGAGCUGCAGUCACUUGAAGCCUUGAUUGGGGCUAGCGGAUUCACUUUUCAACGUGGCUCAUUCACAUAGCUGUUAGCCGCACGAAAUUCUCCACAGAACUGCCUGAGUGUAGUCACAACGUGGCAGCUGUGUUCCCUUUAGGGACUGAUACAAGAGUGAACAAGGUAGAAGCUGCAAUGUCUUUGAUGCCCUAGCCUCAGAGGCCACCCUUCCACAAUAUCCCAUUUCUUACAUAGGUUAGCCCUAUCCAAUGUGAGCAGGAACUACACAAGGUAUGAAUAUACCAGGAAGGGAAACUGUUGGGAGACAUCUUGGAGACCAGCUACACAGAUGGCUAAUUCUUGCAAAUUCUCAGAAUUAUUUGAGUGGUUGUAGAAUUCCUAGAAGGUAAAUGACAGUGGAGCCAGAGAAAUGCUGUUCAUGGCUAUUAUGUUUCCCUAGUAUUACAACCCCCACCCCCUACUACUGUUGCCUGGGAUUAGUGUUUUCUAUAGAAUGUCUUCACUUGUACAUCCAGAUCCUCAGAGUAAACUAUAACAAAGAGAGCAUGAAGAACCCAGAAAUUCCUAGUGGAUUGAAAAUAGCAAAAUUCCACUUAUGAAAUACGAUGACAAAGUCUUCCUAAAAUUAUGGUAGAGGGUAGAAAAUCAGUUCUUAUUGGGAACCUCAAACAAACAUAAAUGUUUUUGAGAAAAGUACUCAAUUUUUUUUUCAGUUCAAAGAGAAAUGUAACUACUCAGAAAAUGUGUGAGUUUUCCUUGUCUUCAAGUUUGAUGUUUGGUUUUAAUGGAAUUGGAUAGGAAGAUAGACUGAGGUAGCAAAAUCCAUUAGUAGCCUGCAUCAAAGGGCUCAGAUUCAAAUGCCUACAAGGGGAAAACAUGUGAUAUUAAAGAAGCAAAAUGGGCCACAUGGGCAGCUGCCACCCAGACCUAGCCAUUGUUGCCAUAAAUAAAUGUGAGCCCUUUAUUGCCAAAGCUUCUGGAUUUUCUUUU